GACAACCGGCACAGCGCUUCCUCCGCCACGGCCUGAACGAGGCCUGCCUCCAUCUGGGCUGCUCCGGACAUCAAUUCGCCAACAUGGAGUAUAUGUCCGCUUUGCAGAACGACUUCGACGAUUUCAAACCGUCACUGUUCGAGAUCCUCUCAGAACAGCAACUCUCAGCUCUCCUCCCCCCAUCUCUCCGCUAUAUUCUCGCCGUCGCCACCCACCGGUACCCGCGCUACCUCCUCCGCGCCCUCAACUCCUUUGACGAACUAUACGCCCUACUCUCCCUCCUCGUAGAACGUUACUACCUUCGCACCUUCGGCGGAUCUUUCACUCAGAACUUCUACUCCCUGAAACGCGAACGUGUCCUCGCGACCAAGAAUGGCGAAAUCCCACGAGCCCAGCUCGGUGCAGCGGGUUCCGUGCGUGAAACACUCAAGCUCCGCUCGUCGGAUAUCUGGAAAAAUCUGGCCGUGAUGGUGGGCAUUCCUUACUUAAAACGGAAACUAGAUGAAGGAUAUGAUAUCCACGUCGCUCCGCAUGCCGCGCUGGCCGCCAGCGGAGGAGGAAUUCCACGGUAUAAUCCGGACGACGGCCUCCCGCACAACCCCACCGUGCGCCAGCGGCUAAUCCACUAUUACAAAUGGUUCCUGCGGAACGUCUACCCGUCACUGAAUGCGACAUACUACUUCGCCAUUCUAGCCUUUAACCUGGCCUAUCUGUUCGAUAACACGAAGUACUCGUCGCCAUUCCUCUGGCUCAUAGGCACGCGGAUACGAAGGCUAGGCCCCGCCGACCAUGCUGCGAUAGAGCUAGCUACGCAGCCUCCCAGGGCGAAACUAGACGCUCCUAAUGCCAGGCCCGGGGGAGCGUUGAGCUUCCUCAGGCCACAAAACAUAUACCCACAUCUCCUUGGGUCGCUAAAGAUCUUCCUCCCAACCUCCAUAUUCGCCCUGAAGUUUCUGGAGUGGUGGCACGCGAGCGAUUUCUCGCACCAACUCGCGCGCAAAGCGGCAGAGGCGCUGGACUUACCCCCUCCUGUCACCUCAGGCAUGAUAUCGCCUACGGCGGCGACUGCGGCAGCAAUGGCGGCUACCACUAAGACACAAAUGGCGACAACGUCUGCCAGCCAAUCCACCAACAGGCCCCCAAACCCGCAAACACAUAUCCCCAAACGCCCUAAGCCGCCCAUCUCCUCCACAUCUUACCUCCCCAUAUUCACCGUGCCAUUACCAGCCGUCGACCCGACCGCAAUUGAUUCGGAUCCUGCUUCUGCGCCCAAUCAAUCCCCAUGCCCUAUUUGCCUUAGGCCUCUCAACAACCCCGCCGUCUGCCAGACGGGUUAUGUCUUCUGCUACAGCUGCAUAUUCCGCUGGAUAAAUGGGGAGCAUGAGCG
rnacentral:sRNA from 1 species